GACGAACGCUGGCGGCGUGCUUAACACAUGCAAGUCGAACGGUAAGGCUCCAGCUUGCUGGGGUACACGAGUGGCGAACGGGUGAGUAACACGUGGGUGACCUGCCCUGCACUUCGGGAUAAGCCUGGGAAACUGGGUCUAAUACCGGAUAGGACCAUGGUGUGGAUACUGUGGUGGAAAGUUUUUUCGGUGUGGGAUGGGCCCGCGGCCUAUCAGCUUGUUGGUGGGGUAAUGGCCUACCAAGGCGGCGACGGGUAGCCGGCCUGAGAGGGUGGACGGCACAUUGGGACUGAGACACGGCCCAGACUCCUACGGGAGGCAGCAGUGGGGAAUAUUGCACAAUGGGCGGAAGCCUGAUGCAGCGACGCCGCGUGGGGGAUGACGGCCUUCGGGUUGUAAACUCCUUUCACCAUCGACGAAGGGUUUCUGACGGUAGAUGGAGAAGAAGCACCGGCUAACUACGUG
rnacentral:rRNA from 1 species